GACGGAGGAUGCAAGCGUUACCCGGAAUGAUUGGGCGUAAAGCGUCCGCAGGUGGCAGUUCAAGUCUGCUGUCAAAGACCGGGGCUUAACUUCGGAAAGGCAGUGGAAACUGAACAGCUAGAGUAUGGUAGGGGCAGAGGGAAUUCCUGGUGUAGCGGUGAAAUGCGUAGAUAUCUGGAGGAACACCGGUGGCGAAGGCGGCAUCCUGGACCAACACUGACGCUGAGGAGCGAAAGCCAGGGGAGCAAACGGG
rnacentral:rRNA from 1 species